AUUGAACGCUGGCGGCAGGCCUAACACAUGCAAGUCGAACGAGUGGCGGACGGGUGAGUAAUGUCUGGGAAACUGCCUGAUGGAGGGGGAUAACGACUGGAAACGGUAGCUAAUACCGCAUACCAUCAGAUGUGCCCAGAUGGGAUUAGCUUGUUGGGGGGGUAACGGCCCACCAAGGCUACGAUCCCUAGCUGGUCUGAGAGGAUGACCAGCCACACUGGAACUGAGACACGGUCCAGAUUCCUACGGGAGGCAGCAGUGGGGAAUAUUGCGCAAUGGGCGCAAGCCUGAUGCAGCCAUGCCGAGUGUAUGAAGAGGGCCUUCGGGUUGUAAAGUUCUUUCAGUGGUGAGGCGUUACCCGCAGAGGAAGCCCCGGCUAACUCCGUGCCAGCAGCCGCGGUAAUAC
rnacentral:rRNA from 1 species